rnacentral:rRNA from 1 species
UGGGGAAUCUUGCGCAAUGGGCGAAAGCCUGACGCAGCAACGCCGCGUGGGGGGAUGAAGGCCUUCGGGUUGUAAACCCCUUUCAGCAGGGACGAAACUGACGGUACCUGCAGAAGAAGCCCCGGCCAACUACGUGCCAGCAGCCGCGGUAAUACGUAGGGGGGCGAGCGUUGUCCGGGGAUUUAUUGGGCGUAAAGAGCUCGUAGGCGGCUUGGCAAGUCGGGUGUGAAACCUCCAGGCUCAACCUGGAGACGCCACUCGAUACUGCUAUGGCUAGAGUCCGGUAGGGGGACCACGGAAUUCCUGGUGUAGCGGUGAAAUGCGCAGAUAUCAGGAGGAACACCGGUGGCGAAGGCGGUGGUCUGGGCCGGCACUGACGCUGAGGAGCGAAAGCGUGGGUAGCAAACAGGAUUAGGAUACCCUGGUAGUCCACGCCGUAAACGUUGGGCACUAGGUGUGGGGCCUUAUCAACGGGUUCCGUGCCGUAGCUAACGC